rnacentral:rRNA from 1 species
UAGGGAAUUUUCGGCAAUGGGCGAAAGCCUGACCGAGCAACGCCGCGUGAGUGAUGAAGGCCUUCGGGUUGUAAAGCUCUGUUGUAGAGGAAGAACCGCCAGGAUAGGAAAUGAUCUUGGCUUGACGGUACUCUGCCAGAAAGCAACGGCUAACUACGUGCCAGCAGCCGCGGUAAUACGUAGGUUGCAAGCGUUAUCCGGAAUUAUUGGGCGUAAAGGGUGCGUAGGCGGUUACGUGUGUCUAAGGUGAAAUUCCAGAGCUCAACUCUGGACUGCCUUAGAAACUGCGUGACUAGAGUGCAGGAGAGGGCAACGGAAUUCCAUGUGUAGCGGUAAAAUGCGUAGAUAUAUGGAGGAACACCGGUGGCGAAGGCGGUUGCCUGGCCUGUAACUGACGCUG